rnacentral:rRNA from 1 species
GACAGAGGGUGCAAGCGUUGUUCGGAAUUACUGGGCGUAAAGGGCGCGUAGGCGGUCCGCUAAGUUCGGCGUGAAAUCCCCUGGCUCAACUGGGGAACGGCGCUGGAUACUGGUGGACUCGGGUACCGGAGAGGAGAGUGGAAUUCCUGGUGUAGCGGUGAAAUGCGUAGAUAUGUGGAGGAACACCGAUGGCGAAGGCAGCCCCCUGGGUCAAAACUGACGCUCAUGCACGAAAGCGUGGGGAGCAAACAGG